rnacentral:misc_RNA from 1 species
GUCUUCAUCCAUAGCGUCAUCUUCUGGCUGCUCCGAGUCAGGUUCGGCUGUCAACUUUUCAGCAUCGACAGCCUUCCCAUGAGCCUUCUUCUUCGUUUCAUACUUGGGCCUUUUCUUGGUCUCGCCACCAGCAUCGACGAUCGGAAUCUCGGUCUGGGCAAGAAUCUGCUUCCUCAUCGCCUCCCGCCGCUUCUGCUCCUCCUUCUGCUUACCCGUCAACAGCUUCCCUUCCUGCUUCUUCUUCAACAGCUUCUCCUUUUCCUUCUCCUUCUUCCUCCUCUUCGCCUCCUCCUUCAGUCGCUCCUCCUCCUCCAG